GCUGGGCGUGGUGGUGGGCGCCUGUAAUCCCAGCUACUAGGGAGGCUGAGGCAGGAGAAUCACUUGAACCCAGGAGGCUGAGGUUGCGGUGAGCCGAGAUUGCUCCACUGCACUCCAGCCUGGGCGAUAGAGUGAGACUCCGUCUCAA
rnacentral:SRP_RNA from 1 species